CACUGGUGCAUUGUGGGAAAUUGCGUUAAGUAACCAGAGAAAGGUCUGCUAGCCGUUUGGGCACCAAACUCAAAAAGCAAAUGGACGCUAUGGUUCAAUUUUUGCCACGGAAUCCAGUUUAAGGCUUUAAUUAUUUUAAAUAAAUUCCUAUUAAAUUCGGGCGAAAAACUUCCGUGACGUUUGCUUUUGUACUUUAAAUUCAUAUUGGUAACAUUCGUUAACGUCAUUGCAGCAGUUGCCAUGGAAACCCGAGAGGCGACUUUAAACAUGCUAGCUAGCUAGUCCGUUAUUCAGUGUUAGCGAAACACAAAGCGGUCAAGAUGUCGUCUUUUGAACACUUGGAUGCUUUGCGAAGACGAAAUAAAGAACUGCUGCAGAAAUUGAACCGUAAAACCGAAAAUAUGCAGCGUCAAAAUUUGGAUUGUUCGAUUAAACACGUAGAAAAUGAAACCAAAACAACGGAGUCCGUUUGCGAUGUUUGGAAAUUAGUGAACAGUAGCGCACGCGACCGGAAGCCUCUAACAGAGAGAAGCAGAAGUUCGUUAAAUGUCUCAGAUGCUUUUAUAAAUCUGAGUGUGAGUGGAAACCGUUCAAAAGUGGUCCGAAAUGCUUUGUGUAACCCGAGAGACGUCGUGAAGACAUCAAAACUAGCAGAUAGCAUCAUAGAGAUCCAGAGCUCUUUUUCAAGAGAGACCUGUUCAUCAUUAAGAAAUAAAAUCUUAGAAGUAGAAAUGUCAGACUGUUUACCAGAAGAAGAAAGGAAAUUUCCAUCAGAAGACGCCACGAGUGACGUCCUCCUUCAAGACCAAGGGAACAGUCGCCUACACGUUCGGUUUAAUCCUACAGGAACGAUGCAGCCCAAGUCCGUUAUCUCACAGGAAAAGGGUGAAAGCGUCGUGGGCCGAGUCAGGUUUGCAGACAAUGAGCUGGAGACCGUAUCUAAGUCGGAAAGACGACGUGUGCAGCCUUUACUGGGAUAUGACUGGAUAGCUGGCCUGCUUGAUGCUGAGAGCUCCCUGAGUGACCGCUCCGAAGACUUUUUCAGCGAGCUUCGCACCUUUCGCAGAGUCAAUAAGGAGGAGUGUGUCCACAGUGUGUCCUCAUGGCUUCCUGUUGCAGCCGACUUCUGGACACCUUCAGUAGAAGACAAUGUGACUAACCACGAGCGUACAACAGACACUCACCAAUGCACAUUCUGCUACCGAAUCAACAGUCGGCUUUUUGCAACUCCUCUGGAUCCUCAAGCUGCGUGUCCCGUUUGCAAGAUGCCCAAAGAGAAGCAUCCACACACAGAGAACGAGCCUGCUUUUAUUAGGGUUAGUAUUCCUCGCGCAACACUUCUGCCAGCGUAUCGAUACAAAGCGCACCGCCGCUGCAGCUUCGAUCCGUCAGACAGUCUUGGUUUGCCCUCUCACUGUCUGUCUGGAUGGUCAAACAUCUCAAUGGGAGCAGGCUCUGAGAUGAGCAACCUAGAUCUGAGAAGCUCCAUGGAGAUCAGGCCAAAUACAGGAACAGUGCCUUCAGCCCAGCCUGAGAACCAGCUGGCAAAACGACGGUGGGGGCGGUGCCGCGGUGAGCAAGUGAUGUAAUCCGUGUGCGGCCCCAACACCAGGAACACCGUCUAUUGCAGCAAGCCUACUGUCCAACAUCCAUUUAUUCAAACAUGUAUAAUACAUCCAUCCAUCAAGUCAACAUCCACUUACUAAUCAUCCAUGCAUGUGUGCAUCCAUUUAUCCAUCAAUCCAUCCAUCAUGUACUCCUACACAUCUAUUCAUACAUAGUAAUUUCAUAAUAAUGGUUAAACUGAUGGAAUCUCUUUUAUAAACAACUUUAACUGAGCAACAAAUGUAGAUGAGUCUGUCCAUAUAAUGAGUAUGAAACUGUUUCUGCAAAUUUGUAAUCAGGAAUCUGAAUGCAAGAACCACAAAACAUUCCAUGUAUUUUAUUAUGUUCCAUUAUUACAGGGUAGUUGUUCACAAACCAGUUCUUUUUACCCUUUUCUGUGAAUUGUUAACGAGUAAUUAAACUCUAUAAUCAGGUCACCAUGGUUACAUCCAACCAGCUGUCAUCAUCACCACACAGACACAUAAUUCCAGUUCUAAUACCAUGAUGGGAUUGUGGAAUUUCUAGACUAGUUUCCUGUAUCCUCUUCCUCCGGAAUAUUUAAAUAAUCAUUCAGUUGUUGUUGUUAUCUGCCAACCGGCCUACUGAAGGGUAAUUCCAGGGUUAUGGAUGGUGACAUUUUAUCUCCUACUGACUGAGUAUGCAAAGCUGGUCAGGAAGAUUGGAGACCGGUCACUGGAGAUGAAUGAUCAAUCUCCUCUUCAAUCAAAUCAACACUUAAGUAGAACUUUUUCAACAGCAUAAAGUUGGUUAAAAGGUCUUACCCAGUAACACACUAUGCCAAAGUUGAAAGAAAUUCCAGAAAUGAUGAGGAUGAAUGUGAUCGAAAUCCAUCAGUCUGGGAAGGGUUAGGCUCUGGGACUCCAAAGGGCCACAGCGAGAGCCGUUAUCUCCAAACGCAAAAAACUCUGCACAGUAGUGAACCUUCCCAGAAGUGGCCGACCUUCCAAAAUUCCUUCAAGAGCACAGCAUUGACUUAUCCAGGAAGUCACCAAAGAGCCAAUGACAACGUCAAAGGACCUACAGGCCUCUCUUGCAUCAAUAAAAGUCACUGUUCAUGACUCCAUUAUCAGAAUGACACUGGGCAAAAAUGGCAUCCAUGGAAGAGUGGUGAGGUGAAAACCACUGCUAAGCCAGAAGAACAUUAAGGCUCGUCUGAAUUUUGCUAGAACACACCUUGAUGAUCUCAAACCUUUUGGGAGAAUGUUCUGUGGACUGAUGAGUCGAAAGUGGAACUGUUUGGAAGACAGGAGUCCUGUUGCAUCUGGCAUAAACCAAACACAGAAUUCCACAAAAAGAACAUCAUACCUAUGGUCAAGCAUGGUGGUGGCAGUGUGAUGGUGUGCGGAUACUUAGCUGCUUCAGGGCCUGGACAACUUGCAAUAAUUGAGGGGAAACAUGAAACAUUCUGCUCUGUACCAGAAAAUCCUAAAGGAGAAUGUCCGGUCUUCAGUCAGUAAGCUGAAACUCCAGCGCAACUGGAUUAUGCAGCAAGACAAUGAUCCAAAGCAUAGGAGUAAGUCCUAGUCCUAGAGGAUGUCUCCAGGUCCAGGGCGUCAGGAUGCCAGCGCUCUGAUCAGCUUUUGGACGUUUCUCGCCUGGCACGAUAUCAGUUCCAGCACCUCGCCUCCAUGAGGACUAAACCGAAUAAGAGCUCCUACCCAUUUUACUUA